rnacentral:rRNA from 1 species
CAAUAGCGUAUAUUUAAGUUGCUGCAGUUAAAAAGCUCGUAGUUGGAUUUCGGGUGGGAAUGGCCGGUCCGCCGUUUCGGUGUGCACUUGCUACGCCCACCUUGCUGCCGGGGACGUGCUCUUGAGUUCACGCUCGGGACACGGAGUCGGCGAGGUUACUUUGAGUAAAUUAGAGUGUUCAAAGCAGGCCUACGCUCUGAAUACAUUAGCAUGGAACAACACGAUAGGACUCUGGCCUAUCUUGUUGGUCUGUAGGACCGGAGUAAUGAUUAAGAGGGACAGUCGGGGGCAUUCGUAUUUCAUUGUCAGAGGUGAAAUUCUUGGAUUUAUGAAAGACGAACUACUGCGAAAGCAUUUGCCAAGGAUGUUUUCAUUAA